rnacentral:lncRNA from 1 species
UAGGAUAUUUAUGCUAACAGGUAAGUACCAUCAUGAAAAUAUUGUCAUAUAACCAAAAGUAUCAAAAAAAUUGACAUGCUUUUCUCCCUAUGCAGACAUCGGUCACUAAUUACGAGUAGGCCAGUAGCUGCCUAGUUGGUGAAAUGCAACUGAAUCUAAACAUGCUUAUAAGGUCAAGCUAGAAGUGGCUUCCAACGGUUUGUUUGAAUUGAAGUGACCAGACGACAGUCGGUGGCAGGGCUUCACACUAAUCACAGAGGGGGCAGCCUCAAGAGAUUACAAAUUAAACACACAAAGCAGAAAAUUCAUGAAUUAUGUUGUGAUGUCUUUGUGUUAGUAAAGCAUUGGAGGGUGCAUGUCCCCCUUUUGCCUGCACUAAGCUCCACCACUAGUUACAAUGUAGCAUCUUUUUUUUUCGGAAUACAAUGUAGCAUCUUUUUUUUUCGGAAUACAAUGUAGCAUCUAGCAAGCAAGAAACAGAAGCAUGUGAUUCACAUAAUAUCAAAGAAUGCAAAUUGGAUACUUUGGUAUUCUGUGAUUAACAUAAUAUCAAC